CCUACGGGGGGCAGCAGUGGGGAAUAUUGGACAAUGGGGGGAACCCUGAUCCAGCCAUGCCGCGUGUGUGAAGAAGGCCCUCGGGUUGUAAAGCACUUUCAGUGAGGAAGAACGCCUGGUGGUUAAUACCCAUCAGGAAAGACAUCACUCACAGAAGAAGCACCGGCUAACUCCGUGCCAGCAGCCGCGGUAAUACGGAGGGUGCGAGCGUUAAUCGGAAUUACUGGGCGUAAAGCGCGCGUAGGUGGCUUGAUAAGCCGGUUGUGAAAGCCCCGGGCUCAUCCUGGGAACGGCAUCCGGAACUGUCAAGCUAGAGUGCAGGAGAGGAAGGUAGAAUUCCCGGUGUAGCGGUGAAAUGCGUAGAGAUCGGGAGGAAUACCAGUGGCGAAGGCGGCCUUCUGGACUGACACUGACACUGAGGUGCGAAAGCGUGGGUAGCAAACAGGAUUAGAUACCCCAGUAGUC
rnacentral:rRNA from 1 species